CACGCCCUCCCCUUCCCACCAGGGAAAGGGGGUGUGGGACCCAAGUCCUGAGGCUUUGGGAGCCUCGAGCACUAGCUGUUUCUGCAGCAGCUGCACAGGCACAGUUCUGUGUUCUGCCAAUCAAAGACAACCACAUCAAACUUCCCCUGAGUCAACUGUCACCAAACUACUGCAAAAACAUCCCAGGGCCUUCCCUGGUGGGGACAACCACCCCAUGGUGUGAGGGAAGAAUGACCUCAGUGCUAACAAGCCAGGUGUCCUGGAGCAAAGGCAGAGAAGCGAGGUGGGAGCACAGCUGGACCGCAAGACACCUUCUGUUUACAGACCCUGAUGCUGGGCAAAACCCAAUGGAAAAGAAGGGAAGGGAAGGGAAGCUUAUCCCUUCUGCUGCAAUCAUGUGGCCACUGAAACAAAUCACUCAGCAAGACGUGAACACAGGCCAUCUUCCAAAGGUGCUGAGACGAGAGGUAAGGGUUGGCGGGAACAGGUUCUGGAAGAGCUGCCUCCCUGGCAAAAGGUCUGACACCAGCUGUUGUUCUGGGGGCUCAUCUCACCCUGAGACUGAUCCCCACCCAGCCUCACACUCCUGCUCCUGGGCGGUGCUCCCC
rnacentral:lncRNA from 1 species